rnacentral:rRNA from 1 species
AGUGAACGCUGGCGGUAGGCCUAACACAUGCAAGUCGAACGGCAGCACAGUAAGAGCUUGCUCUUACGGGUGGCGAGUGGCGGACGGGUGAGGAAUACAUCGGAAUCUACUUUUUCGUGGGGGUUAACGUAGGGAAACUUACGCUAAUACCGCAUACGACCUACGGGUGAAAGGAGGGGAUCUUCGGACCUUGCGCGAUUGAAUGCGCCGAUGUCGGAUUAGCUAGUUGGCGGGGUAAAGGCCCACCAAGGCGGCGAUCCGUAGCUGGUCUGAGAGGAUGAUCGGCCACACUGGAACUGAGACACGGUCCAGACUCCUACGGGAGGCAGCAGUGGGGAAUAUUGGACAAUGGGCGCAAGCCUGAUCCAGCCAUACCGCGUGGGUGAAGAAGGCCUUCGGGUUGUAAAGCCCUUUUGUUGGGAAAGAAAAGCAGCAGGUUAAUACCCCGCUGUUCUGACGGUACCCAAAGAAUAAGCACCGGCUAACUUCGUG